AGACGGAGGGCGCAAGCGUUGUUCGGAAUUACUGGGCGUAAAGGGCAGGUAGGUGGUCUGUUAAGUCUUCUGUGAAAAUCCGGGGCUCAACCCCGCGAAAUGCAGGUGAAACUGGCAGACUGGAGACCGGUAGAGGCUAGCGGAAUUCCUGGUGUAGCGGUGGAAUGCGUAGAUAUCAGGAAGAACACCUGUGGCGAAGGCGGCUAGCUGGGCCGGUUCUGACACUAAACUGCGAAAGCGUGGGGAGCAAACAGGAUUAGAUACCCCGGUAGUCC
rnacentral:rRNA from 1 species